rnacentral:rRNA from 1 species
AUUGAACGCUGGCGGAAUGCUUUACACAUGCAAGUCGAACGAUGAAGUCUAGCUUGCUAGACGGAUUAGUGGCGAACGGGUGAGUAAUAUAUCGGAACGUAUCCAUUAAUGGGGGAUAACUAGUCGAAAGAUUGGCUAAUACCGCAUACGUCCUACGGGAGAAAGCUAGGGACCUUCGGGCCUGGCGUUAAUGGAGCGGCCGAUAUCUGAUUAGCUAGUUGGUGAGGUAAAGGCUCACCAAGGCGACGAUCAGUAGCUGGUCUGAGAGGACGACCAGCCACACUGGAACUGAGACUCGGUCCAGACUCCUACGGGAGGCAGCAGUGGGGAAUUUUGGACAAUGGGCGCAAGCCUGAUCCAGCCAUUCCGCGUGAGUGAAGAAGGUCUUCGGGUUGUAAAGCUCUUUCGCAAGGGAAGAAAACUUACCCUCUAACAUAGGGUGAGGAUGACGGUACCUUGAUAAGAAGCACCGGCUAACUACGUGCCAGCCGCCGCGGUAAAAC